GUCUACGGCCAUACCACCCUGAAUGCGCCCGAUCUCAUCUGAUCUCGGAAGCUAAGCAGGGUCGGGCCUGGUUAGUACUUGGAUGGGAAGAAGUUCUUUAGUUU
rnacentral:rRNA from 1 species